AUUGAACGCUGGCGGCAUGCUUUACACAUGCAAGUCGAACGGUAACAGGGAGCUUGCUCCGCUGACGAGUGGCGAACGGGUGAGUAAUGCAUCGGAACGUACCCAGUCGUGGGGGAUAACGUAGCGAAAGUUACGCUAAUACCGCAUACGUCCUGAGGGAGAAAGCGGGGGACCGUAAGGCCUCGCGCGAUUGGAGCGGCCGAUGUCGGAUUAGCUAGUUGGUGGGGUAAAGGCCUACCAAGGCGACGAUCCGUAGCGGGUCGUGAGAGGAUGAUCCGCCACACUGGACGUGAGACACGGCCCA
rnacentral:rRNA from 1 species